rnacentral:rRNA from 1 species
CUUCGGGGUGACGCGAGUGGAACGAGCGGCGGACGGGUGAGUAACACGUGGGCAACCUGCCUGUAAGACUGGGAUAACUCCGGGAAACCGGGGCUAAUACCGGAUAAUACAUUGCUUCGCAUGAAGCAAUGUUGAAAGAUGGCUUUUAGCUAUCACUUACAGAUGGGCCCGCGGCGCAUUAGCUAGUUGGUAAGGUAAUGGCUUACCAAGGCAACGAUGCGUAGCCGACCUGAGAGGGUGAUCGGCCACACUGGGACUGAGACACGGCCCAAACUCCUACGGGAGGCAGCAGUAGGGAAUCUUCCGCAAUGGACGAAAGUCUGACGGAGCAACGCCGCGUGAACGAAGAAGGUUUUCGGAUCGUAAAGUUCUGUUGUUAGGGAAGAACAAGUACCGUUCGAAUAGGGCGGUACCUUGACGGUACCUAUCGAGGAAGCCCCGGCUAACUACGUGCCAGCAGCCGCGGUAAUACGUAGGGGGCAAGCGUUGUCCGGAAUUAUUGGGCGUAAAGCGCGCGUAGGCGGUUUCUUAAGUCUGAUGUGAAAUCUUGCGGCUCAACCGCAAGCGGCCAUUGGAAACUGAGGAACUUGAGUGCAGAAAAGGAGAGCGGAAUUCCACGUGUAGCGGUGAAAUGCGUAGAUAUGUGGAGGAACACCAGUGGCGAAGGCGGCUCUCUGGUCUGUAACUGACGCUGAGGUGCGAAAGCGUGGGGAGCGAACAGGAUUAGAUACCCUGGUAGUCCACGCCGUAAACGAUGAGUGCUAGGUGUU